rnacentral:rRNA from 1 species
UACGUAGGGACCAAGCGUUGUCCGGAAUCAUUGGGCGUAAAGAGCGUGUAGGCGGCUUGUUAAGUCUUGCGUGAAAUCUCGGGGCUCAACCCCGAGCGGUCGUGAGAAACUGGCAGGCUAGAGUGCGGGAGAGGAGAGUGGAAUUCCUGGUGUAGCGGUGAAAUGCGCAGAUAUCAGGAGGAACACCAAUAGCGAAGGCAGCUCGCUGGGACGUUACUGACACUGAGGCGCGAAAGCGUGGGGAGCGAACAGG